rnacentral:lncRNA from 1 species
GGACACUGGGUAUCAACACGUGGAUAUUUUGUUUCGUAAUACACUUAUCAGCUUAGUAAACCUUAUUACAUAUUCAUCUGGUCAGCUAUGUAUUUAUAAGCAGGAAGAACUAUAGAUCAGUGCAUGCUUAAGAGUUCAAUAUGAUGUUAGGAGUACCAAAGGGAAAACUAUAAGGACAUUUAGAUCGCCUUAGAAAUAGAAUAAGCCUUUGUUUGAGUCAAAAUAUUUGGCCAAAAAAUGAAAAAUUGUACCAUUAUCAAUCAUUUUCAGCUGCAAUGGUUGACUUCUUCUUUCAUGUGUGAGACCUGGCUGAGACUACAACGGUCACAUUUUUCAUUUUAGUGGAAUGAAAAAUAUGGCUCAAACAUGGGCUAAAUUCCACUCAUUUAAAAGUUCAGAACUCUCACGGCUUCUCUAUUAAGUGCAAGUUCAGAGAGAUUUCAAAUUCAAUAUAUCAAAGUAUUUCUCGCCAAAAUAUUGAUGGGAAGCCACACAACUUUGGCUCUCUAUUUAGAAUUUUUGAAUUCACUUCACAGAAAGAAAAAAAAUAUUACUGGUGAUUCCAUGUGUUAGUAGUGCAGUUACUGUUUUUAGUAGUUUAGUUAUUGGUAAUUGCUUAGUCCCAGAAAUGAAAGAAUGACGGAAUCUAAAACCAAAUAUUUCUUGUGUUUCCAACAGAUAUUGCAACCAGGAGCGGAUUUAGGUGGUGGACAGAUAGGGCGGUCGCCCUAGUUGGAUUCGCCGAGGAGAAUUUUUUUUGCUGAUAAUAGAUAGACUUUUUCGAUUAUAUAUUUGAUAAUUCAUAUUAUCAAUAAACAUCUUUGGUAAUUCAGGUGGUUAGCUCUUCUAUUAUUAAAUUGGAGGUUUUGUGUUCUAAACUCUUCAUGUGUAAUAUUUAUUGUAAUUUUGUAUUUUAACAAUUUUUACCAAAAAAAUGCAAGGAAUGUGAUUCGAACAUGCUACCUUCCUUAAACAUAUUGAUCAUUUUAC